AGCUAACAUAAAUAUUUAUGCAUGGAAAUUUUAGGAAAUAUAGUAGAUGAACAAAAAUAAACCAUAUGGAAAUUGGUGUGGAGCAUACCUGUAAUGAAUGUGCUUCGAGCAUAUAGCAUACAUCACUGAAAAUGAGGAACACAGUACAGCAGCAUAUGAAAAACUCUUUUGAUGUACAUUCAAGAGGUAAGCCAUGUGUACUUGCAGCUUCCAAAACUGUCUGAAUAUGAAAAUACACCCUGCAGCACAAAUGGGAACAAAUAAACCUAUCAACAUUAUCGUUUUGCCCCCCAUAGCUGUAUAUGCAAUUCCUGACUGAAUAAAUAAUCGUAGCAUAUAGAAAUUUUAGUAGCAGUGUGCAUUGCUUCAAGCUAAAAAAGUUUGAUCACACAUGACAGUGUUGAGGUACAUGCAGAGGGAGUUUUUUUUCUACAUAACAUACACACUGUAACUAAAUCAAGCCUCACACGUUAGAAGCAAAUCAAAGCUGUAAUCAUCAAGAACUAAUGUCCAAUCACUAUCUUCGUUCUCAUGGCACUGAGGUAGAACAACAAAGGAAAAGAGAGAGAACGAACGACCAGGCAGGCAGGCAACCAUCGUCGCUGAGCCACGGUUGCCUUCG
rnacentral:lncRNA from 1 species